UCGAGAACCGACCGAGAGACCGCGAACCCGUAAACGGAUGACACCGUGUCGGGCGGACAAUUUACUUUGCUCGCCCUGCUCGGGACCUCGCAUCGUGUCCGCGGUCGCCUCCGAGCGCCCCGGACACGAUUUGCGGGGGACGGACGAAACCCCGGCGCGGCCUGCGCCAAGGAACAUAUGACAGGACGGGCGCACGUCAACGCCUCAGCGGCGGCGUGGCGCCCGCUCUCUAUCUAUACGACUCUCGGCAACGGAUAUCUCGGCUCUCGCAUCGAUGAAGAACGUAGCGAAAUGCGAUACUUGGUGUGAAUUGCAGAAUCCCGUGAACCAUCGAGUCUUUGAACGCAAGUUGCGCCCGAGGCCUUUCGGUUGAGGGCACGCCUGCCUGGGCGUCACGCCUUGUUUCGCUCUGUUCUCAUGCCCCUUCGGGGGCGGUCACGGAUGCGGAGACUGGCCCCCCGUGCCUCGUGUGCGGCGGGCUUAAGCGCGGGCUGUCGGCGUCGGGAUGGGCGCGACGAGUGGUGGACGGAGCACCAGCAGGAUGUCGUGGCCCCCCGUCGCCUUAAGGGGCUCAAUGGACCCGGACCAGGCGAGCCGUGCUCCGUACGAGGAGGGCGUGCCGUCUCGCAAC
rnacentral:misc_RNA from 1 species